rnacentral:tRNA from 1 species
UCCCUGGUGGCUCAGCAGGUAAAGAAUCUGCCUGCAACGCAGGAGACGCAGGUUUGAUUCCUGGGUCGGGAA